rnacentral:rRNA from 1 species
UUGACCUCGGAUCAGGUAGGAAUACCCGCUGAACUUAAGCAUAUCAAUAAGCGGAGGAAAAGAAACCAACAGGGAUUGCCCUAGUAACGGCGAGUGAAGCGGCAACAGCUCAAAUUUGAAAUCUGGCCUCGGCCCGAGUUGUAAUUUGCAGAGGAUGCUUCUGGCGCGGUGCCUUCCGAGUUCCCUGGAACGGGACGCCACAGAGGGUGAGAGCCCCGUAUGGUCGGACACCAAGCCUGUGUGAAGCUCCUUCGACGAGUCGAGUAGUUUGGGAAUGCUGCUCUAAAUGGGAGGUAAAUCUCUUCUAAAGCUAAAUACCGGCCAGAGACCGAUAGCGCACAAGUAGAGUGAUCGAAAGAUGAAAAGCACCUUGAAAAGGGGGUUAAAUAGUACGUGAAAUUGUUGAAAGGGAAGCACUUGUGACCAGACUUGGGCCGGGCGGCUCAUCAGGGGUUCUCCCCUGUGCACUCCGCCCGGCACAGGCCAGCAUCGGUUUUCGCGGGGGGACAAGACCGCCGGGAACGUAGCACCCUCCGGGGUGUGUUAUAGCCCGGCGGACGAUACCCCCGCGGGGACCGAGUCCGCG